UAAACAUAUCAACGCAUACAAAACGAAUAAAAAUAGCUAUAUAUUCAGCACAACAACAACUUUAUGCUGACCUAAUUCCUUUGCCCAAACUCAAGUAUGAGCAGUUACAAUUUUUGAAAAAGUUCGUAGAUGAAUCUCUGCAAGACUACUACACAAAUUUGCCUUGUGCGUCAAACAAUGCUGAUCUAAACGAUGCAGAUAUGCACGAGUAAUCCUCGGAGUAACCACAUACAGAAUUAUUCCAUAUGGACUUGGAUCACUUUUCCAUUGAACCAAGCGAAUACGAGUUUUAUUUUAUCUAACAAAUUUGCUACAAAUUAUUUUUCUUUGUUUUGUCUGUUAAUCAGUUAAUGUCUAUACAUAUAACUAUUGAUAAAAACUUCUUACGA